rnacentral:rRNA from 1 species
UAGGGAAUCUUCCGCAAUGGGCGAAAGCCUGACGGAGCAACGCCGCGUGAGUGAUGAAGGUUUUCGGAUCGUAAAGCUCUGUUGCCAGGGAAGAACGUCUUGUAGAGUAACUGCUACAAGAGUGACGGUACCUGAGAAGAAAGCCCCGGCUAACUACGUGCCAGCAGCCGCGGUAAUACGUAGGGGGCAAGCGUUGUCCGGAAUUAUUGGGCGUAAAGCGCGCGCAGGCGGCUCUUUAAGUCUGGUGUUUAAUCCCGAGGCUCAACUUCGGGUCGCACUGGAAACUGGGGAGCUUGAGUGCAGAAGAGGAGAGUGGAAUUCCACGUGUAGCGGUGAAAUGCGUAGAGAUGUGGAGGAACACCAGUGGCGAAGGCGACUCUCUGGGCUGUAACUGACGCUGAGGCGCGAAAGCGUGGGGAGCAAACA